AGAAUGACUCUCGGCAACGGAUAUCUAGGCUCUUGCAUCGAUGAAGAACGUAGCGAAAUGCGAUACUUGGUGUGAAUUGCAGAAUCCCGUGAACCAUCGAGUCUUUGAACGCAAGUUGCGCCCGAAGCCAUUAGGUUGAGGGCACGUCUGCCUGGGCGUCACAUA
rnacentral:rRNA from 2 species